AACGUACGCUCGUGGCACGCCUAACACAUGCAAGUCGAACGAAGUAGCAAUACUCAGUGGCAGACGGGUGAGUAACAUGUAGGUAUCUACCCUUUGGCCUGGAAUAACACGAGGAAACUUGUGCUAAUACCGGAUAAGUCUUUACGGAGAAAGCUUUAUGCACCAUUGGAUGAGCCUGCACUUGAUUAGUUUGUUGGUGGGGUAAUGGCCUACCAAGACUGUGAUCAAUAGCUGAUUUGAGAGGAUGAUCAGCCACAUUGGGACUGAGACACGGCCCAAACUCCUACGGGAGGCAGCAGUGGGGAAUCUUGCACAAUGGAGGAAACUCUGAUGCAGCGAUGCCGCGUGAGUGAAGAAGGCCCUUGGGUUGUAAAGCUCUUUCGUCGGGGAAGAAAAUGACUGUACCCGAAUAAGAAGGUCCGGCUAACUUCGUGCCAGCAGCCGCGGUAAUACGAAGGGACCUAGCGUAGUUCGGAAUUACUGGGCUUAAAGAGUUCGUAGGUGGUUGAAAAAGUUGGUGGUGAAAUCCCAGAGCUUAACUCUGGAACUGCCAUCAAAACUUUUCAGCUAGAGUAUGAUAGAGGAAAGCAGAAUUUCUAGUGUAGAGGUGAAAUUCGUAGAUAUUAGAAAGAAUACCAAUUGCGAAGGCAGCUUUCUGGAUCAUUACUGACACUGAGGAACGAAAGCAUGGGUAGCGAAGAGGAUUAGAUACCCUCGUAGUCCAUGCCGUAAACGAUGUGUGUUAGACGUUGGAAAUUUAUUUUCAGUGUCGCAGCGAAAGCGAUAAACACACCGCCUGGGGAGUACGACCGCAAGGUUAAAACUCAAAUGAAUUGACGGGGACCCGCACAAGUAGUGGAGCAUGUGGUUUAAUUCGAAGAUACGCGCAGAACCUUACCAACACUUGACAUGUUCGUCGCGACUUUAAGAGAUUAAAGUUUUCGGUUCGGCCGGACGAAACACAGGUGCUGCAUGGCUGUCGUCAGCUCGUGUCGUGAGAUGUUGGGUUAAGUCCCGCAACGAGCGCAACCCUCACUUUUAGUUGCCAUCAUUAAGUUGGGCACUCUGAAAGAACUGCCAGUGAUAAGCUGGAGGAAGGUGGGGAUGACGUCAAGUCCUCAUGGCCCUUACGUGUUGGGCUACACACGUGCUACAAUGGUAUCUACAACAGGAAGCAAAACUGCGAAGUUAAGCAAAUCCUUAAAAGAUACCUCAGUUCGGAUUGCACUCUGCAACUCGAGUGCAUGAAGCUGGAAUUACUAGUAAUCGUGGAUCAGCGUGCCACGGUGAAUGCGUUCCCGGGUCUUGUACACACCGCCCGUCACACCAUGGGAGUUGGUUCUACCUUAAGGCAAGGUUUCAAACCCUUGACCACGGUAUAGUCAGCGACUGGGGUG
rnacentral:rRNA from 1 species